UUUUAAUAUGUUCUCUUUCUUAUUAAGAAAUAUGUUUUUUUUUUGUUCAAAACUUAUUAAGAAAUAUGUAAGGAUGUCGUUUUAUGUGUGUUUAGGUCAUGUGAUGCGCCUCUAGUCACGUGAUCUUGAACGCAGCAUGUUUGGUCGACAUUAUGAUUUUAGCAUGGAGCUUCUUUAUGCCAAGAAUGUACUUUUUCUUCUCUUUAUAUGUAUUACUUUUGGGGUUUUAAUUUAUACAAAUAACCUUGCAUACCAAAAAUAUUAUACAAAUAAUAUGUCCGUAUCUGUUUUUUUUUAUAUGACAUAUGUCCGUAUCUUGUUAUAAUUCUUUUUUUUUUGUAACUUUCUUGUUAUAAUUCUUUACGUUUACAUAUAUAUUGCUUCGCCACCUUAAUUCAUAUAUAUAUGUUGUUGGUGUUUUCUUUUUCUGUCUUACGAAAUUGUGGCAUUGUGAAUUACUUGGAUUUGCAACAUGUAUAUUGCAUCAGUGCAUGUGUAAACGAGUUUUACCAUCAUUUGAGAACAAAUUCUUCAUUCAGUUGCAUCUUUUAUUUACGGGAGCGUGCAUGGAUUACAAAUUUACAAUUGUAUAAAAAAUUCAACCUAGUGGUUGGGCACUAAAGAGUGGUCUCUAUACAGAGACUUGUAGCACUCAUAUUCAUAUUGUUUGACAUCCA
rnacentral:lncRNA from 1 species